CAAACCUGGGGCGCAGCCCCACGAAUGGCUGUAGUGUGGCUUCAGGGGAUGUGUUUUGUGACUGGAGUGAAUGCACAGGCACGGCCUGUGGCAGAGGGUGACUUGUAAAGCUGCUCCGUGGGUUUUGGCUCUUGGAGACGCAUGGUGAGAGCCAAGCAGGGUGCCCAGCACAGCCGUACUUGCCCGUUUGCCCUGUAAAAAGAGGGAUUUUUUGCUGGCAGAGGAGGCUGUGAGAGGACCGGGCAUCCUUGGGUGAGACCGCACCUCUCUGUGAGCCGUCCUGCCCCUAUGCUCCCCAUCAGUCCCUUGGCACACCCUUACACCCACGUUUUUGCACCUACAGCUCCUGUGGCACCCCAAAGCCUGGGGUUUGCUGGGUUCCUCCAUCCCCUCCAGAAAGAGGGGGCAAAGCUGGAGCAACCUUGUCCCCUGCCUGCCUGGCAUUUCGGCUGCCCACCUCUGUCUGCAGCCAAACCCCAUCCCCACCCAUACAAUGCACUCUCCUUUUUAUGAAAUUGCUUUGAGCAAGAGGGAUGAGCCACCGGUGUGGCUUUAAUGGGCAAUUUUCUGGGUCUGGGUGUCAGUUGGGGCACUGUAAGUGGCCGGGCUGCCUCCUGGCCCUGGGGACACAGGGUAUCCAUCCUGCCAUGCUGAGCCCGGAGCUGGUGACAUGGGGAGACGGCUGCACCUUUGCAUUGUGGAGUAGCCUCAAUGAGACUGGAGCAAAGAGCAGCAGCAGCAAGAUGCAGCAGCAGCCGUGCCCAGCACUGCAUGGCCCAGGCUGGGAAGACCCUGGUGUUUCCUUGCUGGAGGCUUGCUGUGCCAGCGGGAGCAAGACUUGGACACAUCAACACUCAGCCUCAGACUAGAUAUGAGGAAGAAAUUUUUCAUGAUGAGGGCAGUGAAACACCAGAUCUGGUUGACCAGAGAGAUGGGAGAUGCCCCAUCCCUGGAACCAUUCCAGGUCAGGUUGGACGGGGCUCUGAGCAACCUGAUCAGGUGGAAGAUGUCCCUGCUCAUGGCCGGGGGUUUGGACUAGAUGGCCUUUAAAGGUUCCUUCCAACGCAAACCAUCCUAUAAGUUUAUGAUUCGCUAAACACUUGCCCCACCAGAUGCUGAGCAAUAGCCAUAGGCAACUUUUUCACAGCAGCCUGGCAUUGCCAGCAAACAUUCGAGGUGUGGAGGUUUGGCCCUGGGGCCCUUCCCCGCAGGAGCCCAGCACCGCUCAGCAGGGCUGGAGCUGUCGUCAGGUCUUGCCAGCUGCUGGCUUUGCCCAUUUCAGCUCCUUGCGAACACUUUGCACACUUGUGUGCAAACCACUGCCCCUGGGCAGCUCAGGGUGUGUGGCACAUCUGGGGGCAUGGGCACCUUUGGGUGCCAGUCUGCACCUGGGGAGGUUUAGGAGAUGCGGGAUGGGGCUGAGCCAGCAGGACUGUACCCGAUGUGCCUAAACAGAGCGGUGGGAGAGCCCUGCAGUGGAGGGCAGAGGGGAGCACAUGUCAAACCCCUUGUGAUUAUUUAUUGUUGCUGGGAGUGGGUUGAAAAUACAUGGAAACCAGAAAGAUGGGAGGGCACAGCUCGAACAUCAUCCCAGGUGAGUCACGGCUGUGAUUCCUCUGUGUGUGUCUUUUUCCUUUCCCCCUAUCCCAAACUUCAGCUUUCUCUGCAGGUUGGCACAUGCGGUCUGUGGCUUUUUAGAGCAAGAGAAACCAAAGGCAAAGCCUGGAAGAAUUUUUUUUUAAUUAUUGUUUUGCACGUCAGAGCUGGGGUUUUAGUCUUUUGAAAGGUCACCGGUGAGCGGACGAGGGCCAAAAUUACUGGCUGCUGAAAUAGAAGGCUUUUUUUAUGAGAUGUGCAGCAAGGCUGAAACCACUUUCCUAAAAUUUUAUGGGCUUGCAAUAAGCCAGAGGCCCUUCCUCAGGUGGACGGCUCGAGUGUCACAGCCUUGCUACAUCGCAGCCCUUUCCUUCCUGGUGCAGGGCAAAGGGGGCUGAGCUCCCUGGGAGCAGCUCAGGAGGCAAUGAUGAAGGUUGAGCUCUAGGUUGUGUGUGAUCCCAUCGCUGGUUGUCCACUGCAGUGUUCACCUCCUGAAAUGCCCAAACAUCAGCUCCCAAAAGCUGCUUGUCCUCCCGGACAGCCAACUGCUGCCGUCCAACGUGUCACCGCAAGCGGGGCUCCCUUCCCCACCUCCAAAGCCUGCGCUGUCUGCUUCGCCUGAGGCUGCUAUUUCUUCACAAGUCCUUCAUUCCCCAUAUUUUGCAAGCUGCUCAAGAAUGAACUGCAAUUUUCUUGGUCCUUCACCAUUUAGCACCUAUCCCAGCUGCCUUGCUGGGAACAGUUGGAUGCCAGUGAGCAUUUUUGGUGCCUGUUCUCUGCUCCUGCUUUUAUCUCAGAGGAGAAACUUGAAAUUAAUGCACCUAAUUAUGGCGAUGAACGUAGCUGCAAACACACCCAGCAGCCCCCGUCACCCUCCCCGUGCCUGCAGGACAGGGAGACCGGCUUGACCUUGGCUCCGCGGGAGCAGAAGCGGCAGCAGACGGGGAUGGCACCGUCCCCCUCCCGGUGCUCCCCACCAGCUGGCUGCAAACUCUCGACCUGGUGCACGUUUUCCCGCCGGUGCGGUAUCUCGGCCAGCUCCGCCGCUUUGUACCCCGGCAGGAUUUCAUGAUCUUACCUCCUUAUAUGGUGAAACUAUUCUUUUUCUAGCUUGGCAUUGUUUAUAGCCCAGUUGAAAAUUUUUAGACUCUGGCUGGGUUCUACAAUUAUUUUGUAACCUACAGGGCAUAUAAUUACUGUUAGUUAAUGUGCAAUUAUCCACAUCCUGUAAAAUAAAGGGUUGCUGGCAAUGAGGCAGCGUUCACAGCCCUUCUUGUUGUUUUUUACAAUAACAGUAAAAGCAAAUCUGUCAAAUUCUGUUUUAAAAUAAACAGUUUUCCCCAAGUAAAUUCUAUUUGGCAAAUAUUGCUAAACUGGGGUUGGGUUUGGUUUUUUUUCCCCCUGUGGAAAAAUUAUUUAAAAAGGAGAAAUGUUUGAAGUUUGCAAGGAGCCGAAAUAAAAAAAAGGGGCCAGGAGGCAGCUGCAAGUCCAUGCCACUUUCCAGAGCCUGUCUUUGAUGGGGAUUUAAUGGCUGACAGCCCAUUGACAGGAACACGGACCCAAUUCCCCGCUACCCUGCCUGGCUGUAGGGUCAGCUGUAAAAUCCCACCAGAUCCAAUUUGCUUUGGAUAGAGAAAAUUGAAUGGCAUAAGGUAAGGGCCCAGCUUACCUGUGAGGGAAAUGCCAGCGGGGCUUUUUUUAUGCUUUGAGAAGCUGCUGGGCUGCAACCCCGGAUGAUCCAUGCAGCUGAGGUGCCCAGUCCCACCGCAAGCCUUGCAGCUGCACUGGGAUAGUCCAGCCACCCUGUUCAUUUUUUCCCUGAGGUUUUCAUGAUUUGAACUGGUUUUGAUGGAGUUGACACAUCAGUGUGCCAGUGGGGAGAGAUUCGGGCUCCAGUGAGCAUCUGGGUGAGAAGAUGGCAGGAGCAGACUCGCAGUGCUCCAUGCACCUCACCAGAGGACGGGGGCAUCAACCCACACCAGAGCUCUGCAUGGGACGGGGGAGGAUGAUGGAGCCACAGUCUCCUUCUGCUGCUCGCCACGUCCCAAGGAGGGGAUGUGCUGGGCAAAGAGGUGUCACAGGCUGCCAUGACACGCCUGUCCUUUACUUGCAGCUGCCCACUGUGAUAUUAGCCCCCAUGCAAGGAAACCUGGCUGGAGCAAGGGGAGAUCAAUAUCCACCUGCCCAGCCAGGCUGCACGCUGUUGGGGAUGGAUUGGCUGAGGACACCGCCUUGUCCCCAUUGACACCACCAGCCCCAAGCCACCCUCGCAUGCUGUGGCCAAUUUCCCCUCUGCGGCGCAGCCCACCAGAUUGCUAUGCCUCACUUUCCCUGUUGCAACACUAGACCAGUCUCAGGAGGGUGGAGGGGAUGAGGUGGAGCCCAGGGGAUGCUGGUGGUCCUAUAGGAGAUGGCCAGCCAGCCCAAGCAACGGGGAUGGGGAAGGGAAGAGGGGGCCACAGGGGAAAGCCGCGUAAUAAGGAUAUUUGUUUUGCCUGUUUUGCAGCGUUUCAAUGUUCUGACUUGCUCUAAGAUGAAGGUAUGGAAGUUUGCAGCCAUUGCAUCGAUGCUCCUCAGUUCCAUGUUAUCCAUUUUAGUUUGUAGAGACAUGUUCAACGGAAGCCGGAAAUACAGCCCCUUGCCUUCCUUGCUGUCUUCCUCACGGGCAUCAUCAUCCUCCUCCUCCUCGCUGCCAGCAGCUCCGCGGAGAUCCCCACGGGCCCUGCAACGCCACAGCUCGCUGCUCUCCCAGUACAGCAGCUUGUUGGAGAGCUACACAGAGGGGGAGAUCCGGCAGCUGAUCUCGGCACUGGUGGAGCGCUACAGCCAAGCCAUGAACUCGGGCAGCCACGAGCUGCCGCUCUUCCCCCGGGCAGGCAGCCGCAGAAAGCGUGCCCGCGCUCGCCACAAACCCUGUGCCCUGAAGGAGCUGGAGGUGAGUGUCAGCGAGCUGGGCCUGGGCUACGAGUCGGACGAGACGGUGCUUUUCCGCUACUGCAGCGGCACCUGCGAGGCGGCCAUCCGGAGCUACGACCUCUCGCUGAAGAGCAUGAGGAGCAGGAGGAAGAUCAAGAAGGAGAAGGUCCGGGCUCGACCCUGCUGCCGGCCGCUGGCCUACGACGACAACGUCUCCUUCCUGGAUGCCUACAACCACUACUACACCGUCAAUGAGCUCUCGGCCAAGGAGUGCGGCUGUGUGUGAAGGGCCGGGGCCCCCCCAGGAGGAGUGGGUGGGAGAGGCUAUGCCCUGGUCCCAAAACCCCUCUGGCUGCCGGGCAGAGGGACCGGGGGCUGUGGCGGGGGGAAAGGGAUGGGCCCCAGACCUCUGGCUGGAGGAGGAGAGACUGAGCUGCUGGUGCGUCCUUCUGCGUUACUGUCCCGCUCACUGCACAGGACUAGAGACAUGGCUGUUGGUACCAGUGGAGGCUGCGGUUGUUGGAGCAGUGACGGCUGCUUGCAGCUGUUGUCCCCUCCGGGGAUGGCUCAGGGGUCCCUGUCAGACCCCUUGGAGGGUGACAGUGGGUGUGCAACAUGCACAGGUCACAUUCUACACUCAGGGUGCACGGGGUGUGUUACAUGUCAUACGUACAGGUCAUGUUACCAGCAGAGGGGGUGUUGCAAAGUGGGUGUGCCCCGCACAGGGUGUGCCACACGCAGCAGAGGUGAUGGGUGCGGGGGUGCGCUGCACGCACUGAGCAUUACAAGUUGGGUACGUUGCACAGGCAGUGUGUUCAUGCACAGGAGGUGUCGCUGCAUAUGACACAGUGCUGGUGGUGCAUGGUACUGGACAGGGUGUGCUGUAUGCACGGUGUGUGUUACAGGAUGCAUUACAGGCAUGGGGUGCGUUAGAUGGCUGCAGGUGCCCCGUGCUGCCCCAGGACAGGGGCUGAGCCCUGCAGUCUGUAGCUGCCCUGUGCGGGGGUUUCCUGGGGUUUCGUGGCCGCCAUGCUGGGGUCCUUGCACUGCCAGGGGCGAUUCAGCACCCCAGAUCUCCAUGUUUGGGAGCAGAGAUGCACCGACAGUGGUUUGUGCUCAGGGGAAAGGCUCUGGCUCUGCUCCCCAUGCCAGCUUGUGCCCCCUUUACCAUCGCCUUGCUCCCCACAGUCCCUGGCUUUUCUUCUUAAAACUCGCGAUAAUCUGAAGUAACUGGAUUAACCUCCUGUCCCCUCCCCGCUGCGGACAGCUGGGCUGGAGACCUGCCACCACCGGGGAGGUGACAGAGCCUCAUGAGGCCACCAGCGAAGCCAUGGUGCUCGCCACCCUCCGCCAGGUUUGCAGCAUGGGCAGGAGCAUCGUGGUUCGGCAUCCUCUGAAAGCUGGACCAGCUCUCCUGGCCGCAGCAUGUAAGUAUUGCCCAUCGCCUCGGCAGGGCUUGAAUCAUGCAGGAGAGGGGACUCAGGCCUGGUGUUUGACUCUGGUUCACAUUUACAGCAGUGUCACGCUUUACUCCGUGGAGAAAUAAAUGAGACCGCAGACUUUUGCAUUCUCUGGGCAGGCUAUAUUUGUUGCCUGGCAUUGAUGGGUUUUCUCCCCUUGGCCCUCUUCACAGAAAAAGCAAAUCAUAAACAGAAGGAGAAUAUUGGUGUCAUGUCCUGGGCGGUAACCAAUGCAAGGGAAAACACGCCGCUUGCUGCCCCCCAGUCUCAAUGGUGUCCCAGCUCCUUGGUCCAGCUAAAUGGAGCAGGGGAAAAAAACCCAUGCACCGCCAUCCCAACACGGCAGCGGUGAGGAGGAGAGCUUGUACAGGUGACCACAGCAGCUGAGCGAUGCUGCUGCAGGAUUUGGGGAACAGGUCAGUUUGGGAUGGGAGACAGCUCUUCCCCUUGCACCACCUGUGGGUGAGCAGCAGCACUCCCAACCCCUGCAAAGGGCCAGGCUGGUGGGUUUUUUCCUUGCUUUUUCAGCCAAAUGCCGCUCUUGGCCAAGCAGAGCGAGCUGUAGUGAAGCAAUAUAAACGCCAUCCUUCAGGAGGGCCGGCCGCACACCCAGCGUCCCCGGGAAAGCAGCCUGCACUCUGUAACACAGAGUUUUCCCCUCGCUGUUGGGAAAAGGAGAAAGCAGCGGUGGGCGCGGGGUGUGAAACCCAU